rnacentral:misc_RNA from 1 species
CACGUACUGGGCGAGCGUUAUCCGGAAUCACUGGGCGUAAAGGGCGCGUAGGCGGCUUGUUAAGUCCGUUGUUAAAGACUGGGGCUCAACCCCGGCACGGCAGUGGGUACUGGCAGGCUGGACGGCUGGAGAGGCGAGUGGAAUUACCAGUGUAGCGGUGGAAUGCGUAGAUACUGGUAGGAACACCUAUGGCGAAGGCAGCUCGCUGGACAGCUCGUGACGCUGAGGCGCGAAAGUGUGGGGAGCGAACCGG